GGGCCCGUAGCUCAACUUGGAUAGAGCGCUUGGCUUCGGACCAAGUGGUUGGGGGUUCAAAUCCCUCCGGGCUCG
rnacentral:tRNA from 1 species